rnacentral:rRNA from 1 species
CCUACGGGAGGCAGCAGUCGAGAAUCAUUCACAAUGGGGGAAACCCUGAUGGUGCGACGCCGCGUGGGGGAAUGAAGGUCUUCGGAUUGUAAACCCCUGUCAUGUGGGAGCAAAUUAAAAAGAUAGUACCACAAGAGGAAGAGACGGCUAACUCUGUGCCAGCAGCCGCGGUAAUACAGAGGUCUCAAGCGUUGUUCGGAAUCACUGGGCGUAAAGCGUGCGUAGGCUGUUUCGUAAGUCGGGUGUGAAAGGCGCGGGCUCAACCCGCGGACGGCACAUGAUACUGCGAGACUAGAGUAAUGGAGGGGGAACCGGAAUUCUCGGUGUAGCAGUGAAAUGCGGAGAUAUCGAGAGGAACACUCGUGGCGAAGGUGGGUUCCUGGACAUUAACUGACGCUGAGGCACGAAGGCCAGGGGAGCGAAAGGGAUUAGAUACCCCUGUAGUC